rnacentral:rRNA from 1 species
GAUGAACGCUCGCGGCGUGCUUAACACAUGCAAGUUGAACGAAGUGGCGGAUGGGCGAGUAACACGUGAGGAACCAGCCUUUCCCAGGAGAAUAAAACUGGGAAACCAGUGCUAAUACCGCAUAGUGAAAGAUGGCCUCUCGCCUGGUUAGCUAGUAGGUGAGGUAACGGCUCACCUAGGUGAUGAUCAGUAGCGGGACUGAAGUUUGUUCGGCCGCCUGGGGACUGAGACACGGCCGAGUCUCCUACGGGAGGCAUGCGUGGGGAAAAUUGAGCAAUGUCGCAAGCCUGUCCCGGCAACGCCGGGGUAUGGAAGACGGUCUUCGGUUUGUAAACUUCUGUAGACAGUGACGCGGUACCUGGAGUAUAAGCGACGGCUAACUACGUGACAGCAGCCGCGGUAAUAC